AAGCCACAAGCUCUCUCUCUCUCAUGCCUCGCGCGCGCACGAAGUUGCCUCACAUUUCUUAAGAAGAGAGCCCCUCAUACUUGCUCAGUUCCCACCCAAAUUCAAAACCCAAUGGGAGGCUAACGACCACUUUCCAAGCCUUUGACAAAGUCAAACUUUAAUGCUCAGCCAUCCACAUAAACAACCAAUACUCAUAGGUAUAUUGAGCCUAAGCCUCAAUAUAAGGAACCUAGACAACCGCAAUUCUUAUAAAAGAAAAAACUAUUUA
rnacentral:lncRNA from 1 species